rnacentral:lncRNA from 1 species
GGUUGAAAUGCCCAGAAAUGGUGUUCAACCUAAUACAUCGACGUAUAAUACUAUCAUUGCCAUGUUUUGCCAUCAUUCGCAAGAGGAAAGAGCGCUAGAAUUUUUAAGGGACCUGGAAAAUUCACCAUAUUGUAAACCUGAUGUCCAGUCAUACUUUCCGCUGCUCAAGUUGUGCUUUAAAGUUGGGAAGACAGAUGAAUAUUCACCAUAUUGUAAACCUGAUGUUCAGUCAUACUUUCCUCUGCUCAAGUUGUGCUUUAAAGUUGGGAAGACAGAUGAUUUCCUGAAUAAGUUGGUGAAUGACAUGGUUAAUAAGCAUCAUCUAAGUCUUGAUCUAUCAAGUUAUACAC